AGCUUUGCACAGUGGCAGUAUCAUAGCCAAUGAGGUUUAUCCAAGGAGUGAUUAUUGCUAAUUGAAAACUUUUCCCAAUACCCUGCCAUGAGAACUUGAAAUAUAGUCGGAAUUGGCAAUUUUUGACAGUUUCUGUGGAGU
rnacentral:snRNA from 1 species